UCCAACUUUCUCUUUCGAACAAGGGAGCAAGUUUAUCUACAAAAAAUAAUUGUUACAAUAGAAAUAUUAAGUAAUUGUACACAAUUAACCCCAUUACGUACAUGCUUUUGUGAUGGAAACGCCUAUGUCUGUGGUUACCGUGAUGCUGUAAGUAAAAACUUUCAAAUACGUACAUACAUACUUAUGUAUCAAGGUAAGAUUGCAAUUAAUUUCACGAAUAAUGUAACCAUUUUAUGUCUAUUGGACAGUAAGGAAUAACUGAUCGCAGGUUUAAAUUGAAUUUCACCCCGCUCCCAAUGUAAUCAAGUGGGCACGUGAUUUUCGCGCGAAAAUAUCCUGCGAUCAUUUAUUCCAUAAUGACCAAUAGCCAUGCAAACACACAACGUGGGUGGUUAGCUCGAUACGUGACAUCAUACAAUAUAAAAGUUGGGGGUCUGAAUCCCACGCAAUUAUCCGAUUUGAAACAAUUUUCUCCACCUUCGGCUAACAGUGAAGUGCAACGAUACGGAGCAUGGUCGGCAAAUUGGAUAAUAGAAGAAUUCGGGGGUGAAUGUGACAAUCCACGAAUGGAAGUACCCCCCGUGGACGCGGUGGCGCCGUUUUUGUCGCGCAUAAAAAGUUGGGGGUAUCUCAUAACUUUCUAUAAAAGUUAUGCGGGUGAAGUUCAACAUGCGGAAAAUGGGUUUCUACCCAUCCUGGCGCACACCUGGAUUCUGGAAAAGUAGCUGAUACAUAAUCGUUUUUAGAUAGUGAAGUAACUAUAGCACCGAUGGCCCCGACCCGGAAAUCAACUAUUCCAACUACAAUGAUAACGAAACCACGCCGGAAAUGAAGAUGCAUAACAACACCCAUUUCAACCAAUGAGACCCCAAAAUUUAGUAAAUGCAUCAGCCAUCAGGAUUGUCCACAACAACGUCAUUAUAUCACAUAAGAUUUGUUUAAAUUAUUUCUUACAUAAUUGAAUAAUGACUUUUUUAAUUUAUUUAUGCAAUAAUUAAUCAGUAUUCAAUACCAGUAUUCAUUACCAGAUCAUUAGCUUGAUUAAUUUAUAAUUAAUCAUAUAUACAUAUAUAUAUAUAUUCAAAAAUUGUUGAUAGGUAUACUUGUUUACGUAAA